rnacentral:pre_miRNA from 1 species
CCAGAUGUGGUGCCGGGGUAACUGAAACUCUGAGUUUUCCCUUUUUCAGAGUUUUGUUACCCCGGCUCUCUGUGGG